rnacentral:piRNA from 1 species
UUACAAUGCAGGGAUCUGGUUGAUGA